GGGCGGUCGGCUAUCCCCUUAGGUUUGAAAGGGGGUGACGCCAAUGGAAACGUUCCAAGCACUACAAUUGAUGUUCCUAUUCGGGAUGUUUAUUCUAGCGCUUCUGACGUAUAUCCGUAGAAAAUAGAUCGCCCACCC
rnacentral:sRNA from 1 species